rnacentral:rRNA from 1 species
UACGUAGGGUGCAAGCGUUGUCCGGAAUUAUUGGGCGUAAAGAGCUCGUAGGCGGUCUGUCGCGUCGGCUGUGAAAACCCGGAGCUCAACUCCGGGCCUGCAGUCGAUACGGGCAAACUGGAGUACUGCAGGGGAGACUGGAAUUCCUGGUGUAGCGGUGAAAUGCGCAGAGAUGUGGAGGAAUACCGAUGGCGAAGGCAGCCCCCUGGGAUAACACUGACGCUCAGGCACGAAAGCGUGGGGGAGCAAACAGG